CUUUUUCAAAUUCAGAUGGUGAGAACUGGUCUGAAUGUACAAUUCAGUCUUACUGUUUUCCAUCAAGGUGUCACCAAUCUUCCAGUCUCCCAGGCAGAAGUUUUUGAGAGACAAAUGGAUGGAAAAACUUUUUGGCCCUCUUCCUUAGGAUCAGAAGAGCUUCAACCAGCACUACUACUUGAGGACCUAUGCAGUGUUUGUCCAUGAGCAUGGAAUGACUCAUACUGGCCUCAGAGUUAGGGACUCACUUUAAAGGAAAGGGGAUGCAGUAGUGGGCACAUGACUAAGAAAUCCACCGAUCCUCUCAUAUACUGCACCACCAGAAGCUGCUGGAUUAGCAGAGCAAAGGCAAAGAUUGACCAGACCAAGCCCUGAGACACAGUGUUGAGAGCCAAGACAUAAAGUUGUGAAGAUUCAGACCCAGAGCCCAGCAGGGCACAGGCUGGAGGGGUGAUGUGAGUGAUCAGUAACACCAUGAAGACUCUGCUCCUGGGUCAGGAAUGCUUUUUUGUCCCUGUUUUUGGAUUUUCCACC
rnacentral:lncRNA from 10 species